rnacentral:rRNA from 1 species
CCUACGGGUGGCUGCAGUGGGGAAUAUUGGGCAAUGGGCGAAAGCCUGACCCAGCGACGCCGCGUGGGUGAUGAAGGCCUUCGGGUUGUAAAGCCCUGUCAUGCGGAAAGAACGACCCUGUGACGCAUAAUCACAGGGAGUGACGGUACCGCAGGAGGAAGCACCGGCUAACUCCGUGCCAGCAGCCGCGGUAAUACGGAGGGUGCAAGCGGGGUUCGGAGUUGUUGAGCCUAUAGGGCAAGUAAGCGGUGAAAUACUCCGGCUCAACCAGAGAACAGCAUCUGAAACUGCAUAACUAGAGUACAGAAGAGGGAAACGGAAUUCCCGGUGUAGAGGUGAAAUUCGUAGAUAGCGGGAGGAACACCAGUGGCGAAGGCGGUUUCCUGGUCUGAUACUGACGCUGAGGCGCGAAAGCGUGGGGAGCAAACAGGAUUAGAUACCCCUGUAGUC